rnacentral:sRNA from 1 species
CCGAAGCUUCGGGGGCAGCGGCAUCCUUUUUUGUGAAGCAAAGCGGAACAAAAAAGAUACAGCGAACAGCCGGAACCAGC